rnacentral:tRNA from 1 species
CCUGGUGGCUCAGACGGUUAAGUGUCUGCCUACAAUGCAGGAGACCCAGGUUCGAUCCCUGGGUCAGGA